UACAGGAGGGGGCAAGCGUUUAGUUCGGAAUUUAUUGGGCGUAAAAGGGCGCGUAGGCGGCUUGGCAAGUGGAUGGUGAAAUCCCUCGGCUUAACCGAGGAACUGCCGUCCAAACUGCUUCGCUUGAGACCGGGAGAGGUGAGUGGAAUUCCCAGUGUAGCGGUGAAAUGCGUAGAUAUUGGGAGGAACACCAGUGGCGAAGGCGGCUCACUGGACCGGUACUGACGCUGAUGCGCGAAAGCGUGGGGAGCAAACGGGG
rnacentral:rRNA from 1 species